UCUCAGUCCAGAUUUAGACCUCAGUCUUUCCCACACAUUUACACCCAGCUGUCUGGAGCCGGCCUCUCGCCAUGCCUGCCCUCCUUCAUCAUCCCUCCUUCCCCUGACAUGGUGGCCGAGCGUCUCUUCUCCUUCGGGUCGACACAGCCAUGGAGCCCCUGGCAGAGGUCCCCUUGUUUGAGAUGGACGAGGACGAGGAUGAAGACGUUCUGUCGAUGAAGAGCACAGGUGGCUUUCCAUAUACGUCCCAUGCUGUAGCGCCCCCACCAGGCUCAGACCCAGACACCUUCAUUUAUAUGAACUUCAUGAAGAGACACUGCUGCUACGACGCCAUUCCUACCAGCUCCAAACUGGUCAUCUUUGACACCACACUGCAGGUGAAGAAGGCUUUCUUUGCUCUGGUAGCUAACGGAGUGAGAGCAGCUCCUCUCUGGGACCACAAGCUUCAGUGCUUUGUAGGGAUGCUGACCAUCACUGACUUCAUCAACAUCCUCCAUCGCUACUACAAGUCUCCUCUGGUUCAGAUCUACGAGCUGGAGGAACACAAGAUCGAGACGUGGAGAGAAAUCUACCUGCACUCCAUCAAUCGACUGAUCAGCAUCACCCCUGAGUCCAGUCUGUUUGAUGCCAUCUACUCCCUGUUAAAGAAUAAGAUCCACCGGCUGCCGGUCAUCGACCCGGCCUCAGGAAACGUCCUCCACAUCCUCACUCACAAACGCAUCCUCAAGUUCCUCCACAUUUUUGGUUCUAUGAUUCCUAAGCCCAGGUUCCUUCAGAAGAGUAUCAGUGAGGUUCCGAUCGGGACCUUCAAACAGAUCGCCACCGUCCAGGAAUCGGCCUCUGUCUAUGAUGCUCUGUCCAUUUUUGUGGAGAGGAGAGUCUCGGCUCUGCCGGUGGUCAAUGAGGAAGAUAAGGUGGUGGCGCUGUACUCCAGGUUUGAUGUCAUUAACCUCGCGGCCCAGAAGAACUACAACAACCUGAACAUGACGAUGAAGGAGGCGCUGGCCUCCAGAGCCUGCUGCAUGGAGGGAGUCCUCAAAUGUUACCCCCAUGAAACCCUGGAGACCAUCAUCGACCGCAUCGCUGAGGCUGAGGUCCAUCGUCUGGUUCUUGUUGAUGAUGAUGAUGUUGUGAGAGGGAUCGUUUCUCUCUCUGACCUCCUCCAAGCUCUGGUCCUCAGUCCUGCAGGUAUCAAUGCUCUCUCCUCCUCCUCCUCCUUCUAACCCCUUCAUCCACCCCACGCUCCUCCUCCUCCUCCUCCUCCUCCUCCUCCUCCUCUUCCACCUCCACCUCCUCCUCCUCUUUCACCAGAGAUCAGAGACGUCCUUUAGCAUCAGGUCUAAAACCCUCCACCCCUAGCCUCCGUCCUCUCAGUUUGUCUCCUCCUGACGUCCUCGUCCUCUCAGAUAUUUACCAGCGGCCGUUAUUUGAAGACUGAAGAUCGAUCAGGAGGAGAAACGACUCGGAUUGAAGGAACAAAUGCAUUCGUUCAUGAUGAUCUCAGAUUUCUAAAAUAUAAAAUCCUGAAUUGCUCCUCUGGUUAAUAAAAGGUGAACCUGGUUAAGGAUAUUUAAA